rnacentral:rRNA from 1 species
UGCCAGCAGCCGCGGUAAUACGGAGGGGGUUAGCGUUGUUCGGAAUUACUGGGCGUAAAGCGCGCGUAGGCGGAUUGGAAAGUUAGGGGUGAAAUCCCGGGGCUCAACCCCGGAACUGCCUUUAAAACUCCCAGUCUUGAGUUCGAGAGAGGUGAGUGGAAUUCCGAGUGUAGGGGUGAAAUCCGUAGAUAUUCGGAGGAACACCAGUGGCGAAGGCGGCUCACUGGCUCGAUACUGACGCUGAGGUACGAAAGUGUGGGGAGCAAACAGGAUUAGAUA